AUGAUAUGGAGGGCAUAUGUGUGUGGUGUGUGCAUGUCUGCAGGUACCCAUACAAAUAUAACAUGGAGGCCCAUGGACAACAACAGGGAGCUGGCAGUCCCAAAAAGAAAGUCUGACAAGACCACCUACACCAAAUGCAUAAAAAGGUUCCAGUAGUCCUAAGCAAGUGGCACUUCUAAGACUACAUUUACCCUAGAUGUCAAUUCACCAAUAGAAAAAUCUACAAUUACGAAAAUAAAAAACUUGCAAUUCA